ACAGCCAAGUAACUGACUAGAUGCUGGGGCUUAAGAAAGCCCUCACUAGCUGCAAAGUAGUAGGGAAGGCCGGGAAGUGCCAGUGAGACACACACAUGCACUCCCUCAGGCUGGCUGCAAACCCAUACAGAGAGUAAGGUACACUGAUACAGAUCUGGGAGGCUGUGGUACACCUAACGCUAAAAACAGCAGCAGCAGCAGCAGCUUUGAAUAAAAAAGGUCAAUAAAGACAGAUGUGGGUGUGGAUUAAAGAACUAUGAGACUCGGCUGCAUUAAGGCCUAAGUGAGCAGAACACUUUCCAUCUGAAGAAAUGAACUGACAGAACCCAAAGCAGCCAAACAGGAGACAGGAUCUUGCAUGUUGCCCAGUGUGGUCUUCAACUCCUGGAUUCAAGUGAUCUGCCCACCUUGGCUUCCCAAAGUGCUAGGGGAUUAGAGGCAUGAGCCACUGUUCCUAUCUUUUUUUUUAGGUAUCUCAUCCCAGUAGCACACUGUGCCUAUCCUAAUAAAAUAUUUCAGAACCAAAUGGAAUAUUUUAUUAUUUUCUAUAUUUCUUUAAAGACAGGGUCUUGCUCUGUCACCCAGAUUGGAGUGGAGUGGCAUAAUCUUGGCUCACUGUGGCCUCAACCUCCCAGGCUUAUGCAAUCUUCCAAUCUUCUUGUAGCUGGGACUACAAGCAUGAGUCACCAUGCUUGGCUAGUUUUAUUUUUGUAGAGACAAGGUCUCACUAGGUGGCCUAGGCUGGUCUCAAGCUUCUGGGCACUCCUCUCACCUCAGCCUUGCAGAGUGGUGUAAUUACAGGCAUGAGCCACGGUGCCCAGCCCCAAAUGGAGUAUUUU